AGUAAUUGAUUGGCCUGUGGGAAUAGUUCCCUGACUAGCUAGUUGGGAAAUUCAUUUUUAUUAAACCUUAUGCCUUGGGUCACAGUAAAGCCAGGGAUAAAUCAAGUGAUCUCUCUGGGUUUUUAGUCAUGUCUUACAGGUGAAACAAAAGUUAUAUUUCCUGGAGGAAAUAGUUCUGGAUAUGGAGUUAUAAGAUCUUAACCAGUGUGAUUCAGUGGAAAAAAAAAUUAAAUUCUGAUUCAAAGGACCCAGGCCUGAUUUAGGCUCCACUAAUUAAAACUAUGUGACCUGGAGGUCUUACAUAUAUAAUUUCUAAAAUGAUGUUGUGACCUCUAUACUCUCUUCAAGCUACAAAUUUUUGCUUUUAUAAUAUAUCCCAAAGCUUCACAUAUUAGAUGUAGAGUAGAAGUAUAAUUGAGAUGAUCAACAACAUUGACUAAGAGAACUUGCCUCCCAAGAGAUGGAUAGGAAAUGAGAGAAAAAAUCAACUUGUCAACUCUUUAUCCAAACUUCAGUGGUUGAGUUACCCACAUUAUUUGUGCUUCCUUGGACCUUUGGUGGCAGAGAGAUGGCUGGUGGCAGUGUGCUGGGCCUUUCAGCAUCUUGGCGUGGCUAUAGCUAUUUUCUGGUUUGGUGUGUGAUCUUCACUUUACACAUGAAGAAACUGAGCCAUGAAUUGGAGGAUCUGCCUUAAGCUUUUCAGCAGCUGAGCCUGCAAUCAAGUCCCAGGAGUUGCUAAAGUGCUUAGAUUCUGCUCUAAUCAGAGGGUCUCCUCUUCACCUUCAUACAUAAGUGAGUGAAGGCUCAUUACACCCAUGAGAGUAGCAAACUAUCAGGGCCAAUCAUCCAGAGAUAAAUUAUUGUUACAGGAGGAGAUGAAAAAGUUUGAUAGCCU
rnacentral:lncRNA from 1 species